rnacentral:rRNA from 1 species
CCCUUAGAUGUUCUGGGCCGCACGCGCGCUACACUGACGAAUGUAACGAGCUUAUAACCUUGGCCGAAAGGUCUGGGUAAUCUCCAAAUUUCGUCGUGAUGGGGAUAGAUUAUUGCAAUUAUUAAUCUUCAACGAGGAAUGCCUAGUAAGCGCAAGUCAUCAGCUUGCGUUGAUUACGUCCCUGCCCUUUGUACACACCGCCCGUCGCUCCUACCGAUUGAAUGGUCCGGUGAAGCGUUCGGACCGUGGCCUUUGGACGGUUCGCCGUCUGUUGGCUGCGGGAAGUUCGUUAAACCUUAUCAUUUAGAGGAAGGAGAAGUCGUAACA